UGGGGAAUAUUGGACAAUGGGCGCAAGCCUGAUCCAGCAAUGCCGCGUGUGUGAAGAAGGCCUUCGGGUUGUAAAGCACUUUUAUCAGGAGCGAAACGCUGUCGGCUAAUACCCGGCGGAACUGACGGUACCUGAGGAAUAAGCACCGGCUAACUUCGUGCCAGCAGCCGCGGUAAUACGAAGGGUGCAAGCGUUAAUCGGAAUUACUGGGCGUAAAGCGUGCGUAGGCGGUUUCUUAAGUCUGCUGUGAAAUCCCCGGGCUCAACCUGGGAAUGGCAGUGGAUACUGGGAGGCUAGAGUGUGUCAGAGGGUGGUGGAAUUCCCGGUGUAGCGGUGAAAUGCGUAGAGAUCGGGAGGAACAUCAGUGGCGAAGGCGGCCACCUGGGACAACACUGACGCUGAGGCACGAAAGCGUGGGGAGCAAACAGGAUUAGAUACCCUGGUAGUCCACGCCCUAAACGAUGCGAACUGGAUGUUGGUCUCAACUCGGAGAUCAGUGUCGAAGCUACGCGUUAAGUUCGCCGCCUGGGGAGUACGGUCGCAAGACUGAAACUCAAAGGAAUUGACGGGGUCAUAGCUGUUUCC
rnacentral:rRNA from 1 species